rnacentral:sRNA from 1 species
GCUUGGCAUGGUGAUGCAUGCCUGUAAUCCCAGCGGCUUGGGAGGCUGAGGCAAGAGGAUCACAAGUUCAAACCCAGCCUCAGCAACUUAGUGAGGCUGUAAGCAACCCCCCCCCCCCCCCCCCCGCCCCGCCCGUGAGAUCUUGUCUCUA